rnacentral:rRNA from 1 species
UAAAGAUUUAUCGGUGAUGGAUGGGGAUGCGUCUGAUUAGCUUGUUGGCGGGGUAACGGCCCACCAAGGCGACGAUCAGUAGGGGUUCUGAGAGGAAGGUCCCCCACAUUGGAACUGAGACACGGUCCAAACUCCUACGGGAGGCAGCAGUGAGGAAUAUUGGUCAAUGGACGAGAGUCUGAACCAGCCAAGUAGCGUGCAGGAUGACGGCCCUAUGGGUUGUAAACUGCUUUUAUAAGGGAAUAAAGUUAGUCUCGUGAGACUUUUUGCAUGUACCUUAUGAAUAAGGACCGGCUAAUUCCGUGCCAGCAGCCGCGGUAAUACGGAAGGUCCGGGCGUUAUCCGGAUUUAUUGGGUUUAAAGGGAGCGUAGGCCGGAGAUUAAGCGUGUUGUGAAAUGUAGACGCUCAACGUCUGCACUGCAGCGCGAACUGGUUUCCUUGAGUACGCACAAAGUGGGCGGAAUUCGUGGUGUAGCGGUGAAAUGCUUAGAUAUCACGAAGAACUCCGAUUGCGAAGGCAGCUCACUGGAGCGCAACUGACGCUGAAGCUCGAAAGUGCGGGUAUCGAACAGGAUUAGAUACCCUGGUAGUCCGCACGGUAAACGAUGGAUGCCCGCUGUUGGUCUGAAUAGGUCAGCGGCCAAGCGAAA